UAUGAAAUUAGAAACUUUUGAAUUCAUCUCAGUUCCAGCAAAAGAAGAAAUGAAAGAUUUGCAUGGUGGUCUCCUCCUUCUCUUCAGCCACAAUAAUGCAAAAGUGGAAGAUGAUAUUUGUGAGCUUCAAGAAGAGGUUGUAUGGUAUUAUAAACCAAAUUAGGCACAAGAUUCAGGCUCAAACUCCAACAUAAAAUGUAAUUCUAACUACUCUUUUAGUUUAGCUUUAGCGACUCCAUUUUUGUGGAACAUUCCUACGAUCCUAAGAAUCAUCUUGAAGGUAGCUAGAGGUGACGACAGUGGAGGUGGCUGCCAGGAGCCGACACUUACCAAGGUGGUUGCGCUCAGCUGGUCAUCUUCCUUUUCUCAAUUUCUUUCAUUUCUUGCACAAAACAAAUGCAGCCAUCACAUCAAAACUUGCCUGUCGCCUCACAAUCACUGCUCACCCUCCGCCGGACUGCUCUAUUCUCCCUAACUGCUAUUGCCCAUCGACACUAGCUCCACUGCAUGCGAUGAUCUGCUCCUUCUCUUCUAAAGACUAUCACAAAUGCAUUUGAAAAGCUAGAGGAAAUCUUCUAAUAACAAAGAUCGCUUUUUCAACGAGUAAAGGCUGUCCUUGAGCCAAGAUUCCUUCUCUUUUUCAACGAGUAAAGGCUAUUAGUGACGAUAUGGAUGUUGGGAAUGAAACUAAUAAAACUCAUUAAACUAAUCUUGGAGAUGUUGAGGAUGUGGAUGUUGAUGUUGCACAGCUUCUUUUGGAUCCUGGAUUGAGAGUCGUAAUACAGAAUUAUGAUGCCAAUGUUUGAGAUGUGAUUCGGAUAGCAUAUGUGCAAAUGGGUCCUUGUCAACCUCGCAAUCAUAAGUUUCCAUCCACAAGAAUGUGUAACAAAGAUAGGCAAUUUUAUGUUUCAUGGUAUAAUGAGCAUCCUAGUUGGUUGGAAUGUAGUAUAACAAAAGAUGCUGUAUUUUACUUCUACUGCUAUCUUUUUAGUUUGAGUGCUGGUUCAUUUGUUAAUGGCGGCUACUCUAAUUGGAAAAAGAAAGACAAUAUCAGAAAACACAUCAGGGCUUCUAGUAGUGCACACAAUUAGGCUCGGGUCAGGCUGGGUCAAGUACGAAUCAUUCAAGAAUAAAAAAAAUAAAGCCUCUUUAAGCAAUCACAUCAAGCUCGAAAUGAUUAUCGAAUUUGUUUGAAAUCGUUAACUGAUUGUGUUUGAUUUUAUACGACAAGGGAUUGUCUUUUGUGGACAUGAUUAAUAUGAAGAUUCGAACAAUCAAGAGAUCUUUUUUGAACUAUUGAAUUUGUUGUGUGAUCAUAAUGCUGAGACUAAGGUUGUCGCUAUGGUGUAUACGCCUGAAAAUCUUAAAUUAGCAUCCCCACGAGUUCAAAAGGAUAUUGUAGGUGCUAUUGCUUUUAAAACUCUAAAUAUGAUUGUUAAAAGAUAUUAGUGAUGACUUGUUUUCUAUUCCAGUUGAUGUAUCCUGUAACAUUCAGUAAAGGAGCAAAUGUCAAUUGUCAUUCAUUAUGUGAAGAAUGGGCAUGUAUUGAAGCAUUUUAUUGAUGUCACACACGUAUAGAGUA